GGUGAAGUGAAAAGUCUGGUUUAUUCCGCUAACGGGCGAGGCCUCGCCCUUAACUAGUCGGCUCGUGGUUCUCGUAUCUUAGUCUCCCCUCACGGGGAGCAGGGAGAACAUCGGGCGAGUCGAAGCGGUCGUCGCUACUUCUUAGGGGGAUCCCGAGCAAGCUUAAGCUAGGUGAGAGAGAUCAAUAACAGGUCAGUGAUGCCCUUAGAUGUCCGGGGCCGCACGCGCGCUACACUGAAGACGAAAGCGCGAGUGCCUACGGUCUUGGUUUGGUCAGGCCGGGAACCCGCCCCGAGAGGGGAGGUUGGGGCUGUUCCUUCACGGGGGCAGUCUCGCCUGCAGCGGGUUAACCGUGCCAAUCGUCUUCGUGCUGGGGAUCGGGGCUUGCAACUCAGCCCCGUGAACGAGGAAUUCCGAGUAGGCGUCCGUCAUCAGCUGGCGCCGAUUAAGUCCC
rnacentral:rRNA from 1 species